rnacentral:rRNA from 1 species
GAUGAACGCUGGCGGCGUGCAUAACACAUUCAAGUCGAACGAGGUAGCAAUACCUAGUGGCGGACGGGUGAGUAACGCGUGAGCAACCUGCCCUUGUGUGGGGGAUACCGUCUGGAAACGGACGUUAAUACCGCAUAAUGUAGUGAGAUCGCAUGGUCUUAUUACCAAAGAUUUAUUGCGCAAGGAUGGGCUCGCGUUGGAUUAGAUAGUUGGUGAGGUAACGGCCCACCAAGUCUGCGAUCCAUAGCCGGACUGAGAGGUUGAACGGCCACAUUGGAACUGAGAUACGGUCCAGACUCCUACGGGAGGCAGCAGUGGGGAAUAUUGGGCAAUGGGCGAAAGCCUGACCCAGCGACGCCGCGUGAAGGAAGAAGGUCUUCGGAUUGUAAACUUUUGUCUUAUGGGAAGAAGAAAGUGACGGUACCAUAGGAGGAAGCCACGGCUAACUACGUG